rnacentral:rRNA from 1 species
GACGAACGCUGGCGGCGUGCUUAACACAUGCAAGUCGAACGGAAAGGCCCUGCUUUUGUGGGGUGCUCGAGUGGCGAACGGGUGAGUAACACGUGAGUAACCUGCCCUUGACUUUGGGAUAACAUCAGGAAACUGGGGCUAAUACCGGAUAGGAGCUCCUGCUGCAUGGUGGGGGUUGGAAAGUUUCGGCGGUUGGGGAUGGACUCGCGGCUUAUCAGCUUGUUGGUGGGGUAGUGGCUUACCAAGGCUUUGACGGGUAGCCGGCCUGAGAGGGUGACCGGCCACAUUGGGACUGAGAUACGGCCCAGGCUCCUACGGGAGGCAGCAGUGGGGAAUAUUGCACAAUGGGCGGAAGCCUGAUGCAGCAACGCCGCGUGCGGGAUGACGGCCUUCGGGUUGUAAACCGCUUUCGCCUGUGACGAAGCGUGAGUGACGGUAAUGGGUAAAGAAGCACCGGCUAACUACGU